rnacentral:snoRNA from 1 species
UGAUGACAGUUCUCCGGAAUCGCUGACUGCCUUGAUGAAAGCGCAUUUGAACCCUUUUCCAUCUGACCACUGAGGGCUUUUGUC